rnacentral:rRNA from 1 species
GUGGGGAAUAUUGGACAAUGGGCGAAAGCCUGAUCCAGCCAUGCCGCGUGUGUGAAGAAGGUCUUCGGAUUGUAAAGCACUUUAAGUUGGGAGGAAGGGCAGUAAGUUAAUACCUUGCUGUUUUGACGUUACCGACAGAAUAAGCACCGGCUAACUUCGUGCAAGCAGCCGCGGUAAUACGAAGGGUGCAAGCGUUAAUCGGAAUUACUGGUCGUAAAGCGCGCGUAGGUGGUUUUGUAAGUUGGAGGUGAAAUCCCCGGGCUCAACCUGGGAACUGCCUCCAAAACUGCAUGACUAGAGUACGGUAGAGGGUAGUGGAAUUUCCUGUGUAGCGGUGAAAUGCGUAGAUAUAGGAAGGAACACCAGUGGCGAAGGCGACUACCUGGACUGAUACUGACACUGAGGUGCGAAAGCGUGGGGAGCAAACAGGAUUAGAAACCCUGGUAGUCC